GGGCUCACCUCAACAGCACAUAGAUUAAAAUGGAAUAAUAUAGAGUGGAUUAGCAUGGCCCCUGUGCAAGGAUGACACGCAAAUUCGUGAAACAUUCCACAUUUUU